UAGGGAGACCUACCCGCAUUGAUGCUUGAACACAUUUUGUCAUUAAAGCCAAUGUUGGUCAUCCCAAGGUCGUUCAAGGUUAAGUGUUGGCUUUCAAACUAGCUAGGUUUGGUAUAUGGGCUAUUAGCUCAGGUGGUUAGAGCGCACCCCUGAUAAGGGUGAGGUCCCUGGUUCGAGUCCAGGAUGGCCCACCUUAACGAGGGGGUUAAGCUCAGUUGGUAGAGCGCCUGCUUUGCAAGCAGGAUGUCAGCGGUUCGAGUCCGCUAACCUCCACUGGGAAGCAGUAUUGCGCAAAUGACCAUUGAUGUAAAGAUGUAAACGUCCAGCACCAUCUUUAGGCACGCCUAGAGAGACUGCUGGAGUUGUUUCCAGCCAGAACCUUGAAAACUGCAUAGUUACUUGUCAGGUAGAAAGAGCAAUUUGCUUAGUAUGCUCCAGCUUGGUCUCAACGGCUGAGUUUAAGCGCGCGAAAGCAAGUUGUGAAAUCAUAGACACCAAUGAAUUUGUAAG
rnacentral:tRNA from 1 species